GGGAGAAGCAGGCUCCACGCACUGGGAGCCCGACGUGGGAUUCGAUCCCGGGUCUCCAGGAUCGCGCCCUGGGCCAAAGGCAGGCGCCAAACCGCUGCGCCACCCAGGGAUCCCCUCCAUCAAAGAUCUUGAUGGGAAGACUUAGAAAGGCUGUUAAUGCAAUGACCAACAAAAUAUGAAAAUAAAGACAAACAUGUAGCAUCUCUGAAAACGAGGAAAGGUCCAUGAAAAGGUCAAGACUGGAGACCAUGGUUAAAGGUUGACUCACCAAUUCACUACAAGAAAAUGAAUCUGUAUUCUCAGGAUGAAAAUGAGCAGGGACGGUGAAGAAUGGAAGAGAAGUUCUGGCUGAAUAGAAGAGAACUGAUUGCCUUUCAAUUCCCAGUGUUAGUGGCCUUGGAGUUUGCUCUUCAUCUGCCGGAGCAUGAAGCCAUGCCCCAUUACAGACGUCUGAUCCAGAGCUUCUAGCACAGGCCCCAAGGAGGGGUUAGGGACCACUUCCUCUGAGCUUGUGGAAUUAGCACUUACUACUGGAAAUGCAGAAACAGAACUCAGCAUACCAACCUGUUUUCCUCUCAACAUGUUUUUGUGUAGAAGCAGUACUGGAAACUUUUCAGGAGUCCCGGUCUGGUUAGCCAGCAUGAGCUGUGAGCGGGUGAUUACGCAGCAGCCGAAGGGGAGACCUGUGCAGGAGGUGGUCAAGGGCCUUUCGGCUUUCACCUGACUGGCAUUCCCAGCUGUUCCCGCCCUGGUGUUCUUCUGGGUGCACACAGACCUCCCAAGCAUGGUCCAUGGUCUCCCCUCCAGUCUUGGCCCCACGCAAGAGAGCAGAGUUCUAAAGCAGAAGGGAAGAGAACUUCAGUGGCUGGGGGAAGCUUUUAAAGGAUACCCUUACUGUGUCAAAAAAAAAAAAAAAAAAAAAAAAAAAAAAAAAAAAAAGAAUACUAUCAACAUUGACUAAUAAGAGAAAAUGAGAUAUAGAGACAAAGAUAAAACACAGGGAUAGUGAAGAAACACAGUACUGCUUGUACUUCCUUUUUAUUGAUUUGAAUCAACCAUUUUUGAAAGUAUCAAUUCUCACUCCUCUUUAUCUGUGACUUGAAUCACAUUUCUUAGACCGAUUGAUUUCUUAUUGUUCACCUAGGAUAGGUUUUUCCCCCCCUCAAUCUUUUUUUGUUUUUUUCUCUGUUCUUUAGUUGGGAUAUUUUUUACUGAUUUGUCUUAAAUUUCAUUAACCCUUUUAUUCUUUUAUAUUCCAACUCUUUGUAAGCUAACCAUAUAGAUUUUUUUAUUUCAUACAUUGUAUUGUUCACCUCUGGAACUUUAUAUUGCUAUUUCUGUAUAUUUAUAGUCUGUCUUCUGAAAGACUUCAUCUGUUCAUUUAUUCUAUUAAUAUAUUUCUUUAAAUUCUUAAUCAUAUUUAUAAUAGUGAUCUUAAAGUCCUUAUGUGAUGAUUAUAAUACCUACAUCAUCUCAAGAUUUCUAUUGACUACUUUUUAUCUAAUUAUGUUUUUUAUUUUUCUAGGUCUUUGCGGGUACAAUAAUUUUAGAUUAUAAGGUGAACAUUGUGGAUGAUCGAUUGUAAGGAUUCUUGAUAAUACUAGUUUCUUCUUAAAAACAUUGAAUUUUGUCCUGGCAGGCAGUCAAUUUACUAGAUCUUGAAUCUGUCACUUUUAGUUUUAUGUUUUGUUUAAACUUUAUGUUUUGUUUUGUUUCUAUUUCAUCUUUAAUCUCAGGGUGUGGCCUUAUUUCUAGUACUUGAUCUUUACUUCUGUAUUUUCCUUUUCUGGGGUCCCAGUUGAAUGCCUGAAGGGUUCAAUGAGAUUUCUUUACUCUGACACAGCUAGUACUCCAAUAUAUCCCAGCACUGCAAAACUUCCAGUGUCUUCUCUUUUCAUCUCUUAACUUUGAAGCAGCUUUUUCUAUUAGGCUUUUUGAAAUCUUUCUCUGUAGGUGUACAGCUUAGACCUUGGUUAAAGACUCAAGAGUAAUCUCCAUGACUUCUAGGUCUCACAUCUGUGUAUCUCCUGGAUCUCAUUUUUUUAAACUCUGUCUUAAAAACUCUACUUCUUUUAAGUGCCCAGAAGCCCAACUUCUGCCUCAUUAGCUUAGCAAGACUGCUUCUCUGCUUUGGCUCCAAUGUCUCUUAGUUUUGAUAGAUGUGUGUUUCUAGGCAGAAAGCCUAAGUGAUUAUAGUGUUUAUCUCACUUUGUUUCCCUUCUUUCAAGUUCGAUCUUGCCUAUUGUGCAAUGACUAGAAACUAUUGUCUUGUAUGUCUUGUUAAGCUCAUAGUCACAUAGAAUGUGUGUAUGUAUGAGGUAAAUUAAAUAUCGGUUUUCCUAUCAUUUAAAAGAAAAGUUGAUGAGAUUUUAAAAGAAAAACAAGAAGAUGUAGAGUGUUACAAUUCAUGAUAUUAAAACACAUUAUAAUAUUACAAUAUUUUUUUAAAAGGCUGUAAUGACUCCAGGAUAGACAUAUUAUGUUGAGCAGUGAUGUGUACUAUACUCCUAUAAACUUUCAAUACUGUAUUCAACAAUGUUGUAUUAUCACACAUCUAGUAUAUACCCUAUUUCUUGUACACUCAUUAUGUUGAUUUGUAUCAUUUUUUUUAUUGCUUCUUCCAAGAGUGUUCUCAUUGUGGCCUUAUAUCUGGCAAAAUAUCUAAGACUUUAUAUGCCUAAGGACAUAAAGUUCUUCUUUUUCAGUAUUUUAAAUAUACUACUCCUCUGUCCUUUUGCCUUCAGUGGUGCUGUUGAGAGAUUAGACAUUAAUCUUUUGUUUGUGGGUGAUCUACUCUUUUCCUUUACAUAGUUUUAUUAUUUUAAUAUUGUAUUUGUUAUUCUUAAGUUCCAUGAUCACUGAGAUGUAAUUCCCCUAAUGUUUGUGGAUUUUAUUUUCCCCCACUGGCCUGCUAGUGUCUUUUGUUUGUUUGUUUGUUUGUUUGUUAGUGUCUUGCUAAAGUACAUAGAGUAGUGGCUUCUUCUUGCUCACCAGGUCCAAUUAUCAUCAAUGUUUUGGACCAGUAUGAUGGAAGAAGUGAGGGAAGAAAAAGAUGAUCAAGUUCUUUCCCUGUGAUCUAUGUUAUGAUGUAAGUCUGAUGAGUUUAUACACGCCUUUGGUAAGACUAUGAAGACUUUUCAAUUCAGAUGGUCUUUAUAAAUCAUUAGAGCAAGAACGAAAAAGCCUUGACCUGAUCAAUAGUUGCAUACGAGGUGUCAGGGGAUGUACUGACUUGUUUAAGCAAUGAAACCACAUCUAGAACUGCAGCUAUAAUUUGAGUCACCACCACCUGAUUGCACUUAUGGUAAUUCACUUUUAUUCUCAGAGUAAUCUAAUUUCUGCACAGGCCAAAUAGGCUGAAUUGGAAUGUGGUAGGAAGGAAUUUAAUACUAAAUGUUGGCAAAAAUGGAAGAUGGGGUGCUUUAUGAAUAUUUGGGCAUAUAUACUUGCACAGAAAUUUGGGAAACCAAUCUAUUAGUAUGUAGUAAAACUGCCCUCUGAUCCAAAAGCAUACAUCUAUCUAUCUAUCUAUCUAUCUAUCUAUCUAUCUAUCUAUCUAUAUUGAUAUAUAUAUGUAUGUAUUGAUAUGUAUAUAAGAUGGAAGAAGAAAGUCCUUGAAUACAGUAUGCUAGCAUUUUCAUUUUUAUUGUUAAAUCUGUGCAAAUUGAAUGAAAAUGUAUACCACAGUAUUAAAAAUGGUUACCUCAAGUUAAAGGAAUUAAUAAUUGUAAAUUCUAGAUUUUUUUCUUAUUUUUGCUUUGACAACAUAUUUUUAAGUAAUAGAUAACUAGGAAAACUGUCCUAAUAUGAUGUAAAAUAAGAAAGCAGUAUGCAAACCGUAUGUAUAAAAUAUGCAUGUAAUAAAGGAAAAUGGAAAUAUGCCAAA